ACACCGGUAGCACAGUGGUUAGUGCCCGGAAACAGAAAGACGCGGGUUCAAUUCCCGUCCGAUGUC
rnacentral:tRNA from 1 species